UAAGGCAAAGUUGUAGAAAGUCAUCAGCCUCACUCUUUCUUCCGGAGUCAUCAAAGUCCAGUGGCAAGAUAAAAGUUAAGACUACCAUAUACAAGAUACCCUGUUCAUCUAGUUUCUAGGAUUCUCGUAAAAGAAUAAGUAGGACAACUGUUGGAGAGACUAUGAGAAGAUAAAAAGACUGACACACUAUCAAUGGAGCUGUGGAUUAAUCCAAUGAUUCCAGAAAGUAGUUGAGAUCUCCUCAUGUGCUACCCUGAUUUUUCCCUUGGACUUUUGAUGAUGUUUGGAGUCUGUUGAGCUGUAAAAAGAAAAAUAAACCCAGUGGAUUGUCAGCAUAUUUGGAUGUAGGCUUCCAGAAUUCUGCUUGUUUUCUUGCAUGGCAAUAUAAUAUACAUUAAACUGAA